CAGUCGCCACGGGAAUACGGAGGGGGCUAGCGUUGUUCGGAAUUACUGGGCGUAAAGCGCACGUAGGCGGCUUGGUAAGUUAGAGGUGAAAGCCUGGAGCUCAACUCCAGAAUUGCCUUUAAGACUGCCGAGCUAGCAGGUGAGAGAGGUAAGUGGAAUUCCGAGUGUAGAGGUGAAAUUCGUAGAUAUUCGGAAGAACACGAGUGGCGAAGGCGGCUUACUGGCUCAUACUGGACGCUGAGGUGCGAAAGCGUGGGGAGCAAACAGGAUUAGAUACCCCCGUAGUCCCUGUCUCUUAUAA
rnacentral:rRNA from 1 species